rnacentral:rRNA from 1 species
AGGACAAACGCUGGCGGCGUGCCUAAGACAUGCAAGUCGGACGGGGGCUUCGGCCCCUAGUGGCGGACGGGUGAGGAGCGCGUGAAUGACCUGCCCGCGGGUGGGGAUAACGGCCAGAAAUGGCCGCUAAGACCGCAUGAGACCCGGUGCUGCGAGGUGCCGGGGGAAAGCCGCAAGGCGCCGGCGGAGGGGUUCGCGACGGAUUAGCUAGUUGGUGGGGUAAGGGCCUACCAAGGCGACGAUCCGUAGCUGGUCUGAGAGGACGGCCAGCCACACUGGGACUGAGACACGGCCCAGACUCCUACGGGAGGCAGCAGUUAGGGAAUUUUGGCAAUGGGCGCAAGCCUGACCGAGUGACGCCGCGUGCGGGACGGAGCCCUUCGGGGUGUAAACCGCUUUUCCCGGGGCGAGCGAGGACGGUACCCGGGGAAUAAGCCUCGGCUAACUACGUGCCAGCAGCCGC